GACGAAGGGGGCUAGCGUUGUUCGGAAUUACUGGGCGUAAAGCGAGUGUAGGUGGUUUUCCAAGUUGGAUGUGAAAGCCUUGAGCUCAACUCAAGAAAUGCAUUCAGGACUGGAAGACUAGAGGACCGGAGAGGAUAGUGGAAUUCCCAGUGUAGUGGUGAAAUACGUAGAGAUUGGGAAGAACACCAGUGGCGAAGGCGGCUAUCUGGACGGUUUCUGACACUAAGACUCGAAAGCGUGGGGAGCAAACAGG
rnacentral:rRNA from 1 species